rnacentral:lncRNA from 1 species
CAACAUCCUAUGUUGCAAAUGGACUAGAAGAUGCUGAGAAUAAUACGUGUUAUAUGCAAUAUGGCAGUACGGCAGUUCACUUAAGGAAUUCUGACGCAUGGAUUCACUUAUCUCACACGUGGGAAAGUAUCAACAUCCUAUGUUGCAAAUGGACUAGAAGAUGCUGAGAAUAAUAUGUGUUAUAUGCAAUAUGGCACUACGGCAGAUCACACAAGGCAUGCUGAGACAUGGAUUCACAUUUC